rnacentral:rRNA from 1 species
UACGGAGGAUGCAAGCGUUAUCCGGAUUUAUUGGGUUUAAAGGGUGCGUAGGCGGGAUUAUAAGUCAGUGGUGAAAACCUGCAGCUUAACUGUAGACUUGCCAUUGAUACUGUAGUUCUUGAGUAUGGUCAAGGCAGGCGGAAUGUGUAAUGUAGCGGUGAAAUGCUUAGAUAUUACACAGAACACCAAUUGCGAAGGCAGCUUGCUGGGCCAUUACUGACGCUGAGGCACGAAAGCGUGGGGAUCAAACAGGAUUA